rnacentral:rRNA from 1 species
UCAUGGCUCAGAUUGAACGCUGGCGGCAGGCCUAACACAUGCAAGUCGAGCGGAUGAGUGGAGCUUGCUCCACGAUUCAGCGGCGGACGGGUGAGUAAUGCCUAGGAAUCUGCCUGGUAGUGGGGGACAACGUUUCGAAAGGAACGCUAAUACCGCAUACGUCCUACGGGAGAAAGCAGGGGACCUUCGGGCCUUGCGCUAUCAGAUGAGCCUAGGUCGGAUU